rnacentral:snRNA from 1 species
UCAUUUUUUCGGUCUUUUGGCUGAGAUCAAGUGUAAUAUUUGUUUCACCAGUUCAAUAUCUGGUAUAUAAACAAUAUGUUCACUUUGACAUUAAAUUCAUUUAUUAUGGGUAUUUUUAUGUGGAUGGUCCAUUAAACUCUCAAGUGCCGCUUGCUCGUCCAAUCAAUAUCUGGUUGGGUACCGUCGCA